rnacentral:rRNA from 1 species
UACGUAGGGUGCAAGCGUUGUCCGGAAUUAUUGGGCGUAAAGAGCUCGUAGGCGGUUCGUCGCGUCGGCUGUGAAAUCCCGGAGCUCAACUCCGGGUCUGCAGUCGAUACGGGCGGACUUGAGUUCGGCAGGGGAGACUGGAAUUCCUGGUGUAGCGGUGAAAUGCGCAGAUAUCAGGAGGAACACCGGUGGCGAAGGCGGGUCUCUGGGCCGAUACUGACGCUGAGGAGCGAAAGCGUGGGUAGCAAACAGG